GAUGAACGCUAGCGGGAGGCUUAAUACAUGCAAGUCGAGGGGCAGCAGGACUGUAGCAAUACAGUUGCUGGCGACCGGCAAACGGGUGCGGAACACGUACAGAACCUUCCUUCGAGUGGGAGAUAGCCCAGGGAAACUUGGAGUAAUACCCCAUAGGAUAGUAGAGUGGCAUCACUUAGCUAUUAAAGAUUCAUCGCUCGAAGAUGGCUGUGCGGCUGAUUAGGUAGUUGGCGGGGUAAAGGCCCACCAAGCCUUCGAUCAGUAACUGGUGUGAGAGCACGACCAGUCACACGGGCACUGAGACACGGGCCCGACUCCUACGGGAGGCAGCAGUAAGGAAUAUUGGUCAAUGGACGCAAGUCUGAACCAGCCAUGCCGCGUGGAGGAUGAAGGCCCUCUGGGUUGUAAACUUCUUUUCUUUGGGACGAAACCCCUGUUUCUACGGGGACUGACGGUACCAGAGGAAUAAGCACCGGCUAACUCCGUGCCAGCCGCCGCAGUAAGAC
rnacentral:rRNA from 1 species